CCCUUAGAUGUUCUGGGCUGCACGCGCGCUACACUGAUGCACUCAACGAGUUUACGACCUUGCCCGAUAGGGUUGGGUAAUCUUUUUAAAAUGCAUCGUGAUGGGGAUAGAUUAUUGCAAUUAUUAAUCUUCAACGAGGAAUUCCUAGUAAGCGCGAGUCAUCAGCUCGUGCUGAUUACGUCCCUGCCCUUUGUACACACCGCCCGUCGCUCCUAUCGAUUGAGCGCUCAGGUGAAUAAUUCGGACUGCAGCAAUGUUUGGAUCCCGAACGUUGCAGCGGAAAGUUUAGUGAACCUUAUCACUUAGAGGAAGGAGAAGUCGUAACA
rnacentral:rRNA from 1 species